UACGGAGGGUGCAAGCGUUAAUCGGAAUUACUGGGCGUAAAGCGCACGCAGGCGGUCUGUCAAGUCGGAUGUGAAAUCCCCGGGCGUCAACCUGGGAACGUGCAUUCGAAACUAGGCAGGCUAGAGUCUUGUAGAGGGGGUAGGAAUUCCAGGUGUAGCGGUGAAAUGCGUAGAGAUCUGGAGGAAUACCGGUGGCGAAGGCGGCCCCCUCGGACGAAACGACUGACGCUCAGGUGCGAAAGACGUGGGGA
rnacentral:rRNA from 1 species